rnacentral:rRNA from 1 species
AGCGAACGCUGGCGGCAGGCCUAACACAUGCAAGUCGAGCGCCCAGCAAUGGGAGCGGCAGACGGGAGAGUAACACGUGGGAACGUGCCUUUUGGUUUCGGAAUAACUCAGGGAAACUUGAGCUAAUACCGGAUAAGCCCUUACGGGGAAAGGAUUUAUUGCCAAAAGAGCGGCCCGCGUCCGAUUAGCUAGUUGGUGAGGUAAUGGCUCACCAAGGCGACGAUCGGCAGCUGGU